rnacentral:rRNA from 1 species
GACGAACGCUGGCGGCGUGCUUAACACAUGCAAGUCGAGCGGAAAGGCCCUUUCGGGGGUACUCGAGCGGCGAACGGGUGAGUAACACGUGAGUAAUCUGCCUUGGCUUUGGGAUAACUACCGGAAACGGUGGCUAAUACCGGAUAUGACCAUGCUCGGCAUCGGGUGUGGUGGAAAGUUUUUUCGGCCAGGGAUGUGCUCGCGGCCUAUCAGCUUGUUGGUGGGUAAUGGCCUACCAAGGCUUCGACGGGUAGCCGGCCUUGAGAGGGGUGACCGGCCACACUGGGACUGAGACACGGCCCAGACUCCUACGGGAGCAGCAGUGGGGAAUAUUGGACAAUGGGCGGAAGCCUGAUCCAGCAACGCCGCGUGAGGGAUGACGGCC